rfam:Asian citrus Psyllid, Diaphorina citri - Florida Strain, whole genome shotgun sequence.
GCCUAGUUAGCUUGGAAGGUAGAAAGUCUGCUUUGUAAGGGCUAGGUCGCGGGUUCGAUUCCCGCCCUGGGCG